CCUACGGGAGGCAGCAGUGAGGAAUAUUGGUCAAUGGCCGUAAGGCUGAACCAGCCAAGUCGCGUGAAGGAAGAAGGAUCUAUGGUUUGUAAACUUCUUUUAUAGGGGACUAAAGGUAUCCACGUGUGGAUAUUUGCAUGUACCCUAUGAAUACGCAUCGGCUAACUCCGUGCCAGCAGCCGCGGUAAUACGGAGGAUGCGAGCGUUAUCCGGAUUUAUUGGGUUUAAAGGGUGCGUAGGUUGUUUUUUAAGUCAGCGGUUAAAGGUUGUGGCUCAACCAUAAAAUUGCCGUUGAAACUGGAAGACUUGAGUGUGUUUGAGGUAGGCGGAAUGCGUGGGGUAGCGGUGAAAUGCAUAGAUAUCACGCAGAACUCCGAUUGCGAAGGCAGCUUACUAAGCCAUAACUGACACUGAAGCACGAAAGCGUGGGGAUCAAACAGGAUUAGAUACCCUUGUAGUC
rnacentral:rRNA from 1 species